UACGUAGGGCGCAAGCGUUGUCCGGAAUUAUUGGGCGUAAAGAGCUCGUAGGCGGCCUGUUGCGUCUGCUGUGAAAUCCCGGGGCUUAACCCCGGGCGUGCAGUGGAUACGGGCAGGCUGGAGGCAGGCAGGGGGGAACGGAAUUCCCGGUGUAGCGGUGAAAUGCGCAGAUAUCGGGAGGAACACCGGUGGCGAAGGCGGUUCCCUGGGCCUGUACUGACGCUGAGGAGCGAAAGCGUGGGGAGCGAACAGG
rnacentral:rRNA from 1 species